GAUGAAGAACGUAGCGAAAUGCGAUAAGUAAUGUGAAUUGCAGAAUUCAGUGAAUCAUCGAAUCUUUGAACGCACAUUGCGCCCGCCAGCAUUCUGGCGGGCAUGCCUGUUCGAGCGUCAUUUCAACCCUCGCAGCCCAUCUGGGCAGCGGUGUUGGGGACCGGCACCACCGGCGAAGCCCUUAGGGGCCCAGCCGGCGCCGCCCCCGAAAUACAGUGGCGGUCUCGCUGCAGCCUCCCUUGCGUAGUAGCACACCUCGCACCGGAGCGCAGCGCGGCCACGCCGUAAAACCCCCGACUUUCUGAGUUUGACCUCGAAUCAGGUAGGAAUACCCGCUGAACUUAAGCAUAUCAAUAGCGGAGGA
rnacentral:misc_RNA from 1 species